UACGUAGGUGGCGAGCGUUGUCCGGAUUUACUGGGCGUAAAGAGCGCGCAGGCGGUCGUCCAAGUCGCGUGUGAAAGCCCCCGGCUCAACUGGGGAGGGUCACGCGAUACUGAUCGACUCGAAGGCAGGAGAGGGAAGCGGAAUUCCCGGUGUAGUGGUGAAAUGCGUAGAUAUCGGGAGGAACACCAGUGGCGAAGGCGGUUCUCUGGGCCUGUACUGACGCUGAGGAGCGAAAGCGUGGGGAGCGAACAGG
rnacentral:rRNA from 1 species